rnacentral:rRNA from 1 species
UACGGAGGAUGCAAGCGUUAUCCGGAAUGACUGGGCGUAAAGCGUCCGCAGGUGGCUGUGUAAGUCUGCUGUCAAAGAGCGAAGCUCAACUUCGUAACGGCAGUGGAAACUACACGGCUAGAGUGCGUUCGGGGCAGAGGGAAUUCCUGGUGUAGCGGUGAAAUGCGUAGAUAUCUGGAGGAACACCGGUGGCGAAGGCGGCGUUCUGGACUGCAACUGACACUGAGGAACGAAAGCCAGGGGAGCAAACGGG